rnacentral:rRNA from 1 species
CCUACGGGAGGCAGCAGUGGGGAAUAUUGCACAAUGGGCGCAAGCCUGAUGCAGCGACGCCGCGUGAGGGAUGACGGCCUUCGGGUUGUAAACCUCUUUCACCAGGGACGAAGCGAAAGUGACGGUACCUGGAGAAGAAGCACCGGCCAACUACGUGCCAGCAGCCGCGGUAAUACGUAGGGUGCGAGCGUUGUCCGGAAUUACUGGGCGUAAAGAGCUCGUAGGCGGUUUGUCGCGUCGUUCGUGAAAACUUGGGGCUUAACUCCAAGCGUGCGGGCGAUACGGGCAGACUUGAGUACUACAGGGGAGACUGGAAUUCCUGGUGUAGCGGUGAAAUGCGCAGAUACCAGGAGGAACACCGGUGGCGAAGGCGGGUCUCUGGGUAGUAACUGACGCUGAGGAGCGAAAGCGUGGGUAGCGAACAGGAUUAGAUACCCUGGUAGUCCACGCCGUAAACGGUGGGUACUAGGUGUGGGUUCCUUUUCACGGGAUCCGUGCCGUAGCUAACGCAUUAAGUACCCCGCCUGGGGAGUACGGCCGCAAGGCUAAAACUCAAAUGAAAUUGACGG